rnacentral:sRNA from 1 species
AGAUAUUGGAAAUGUAUGUGAGUGUGGAGAAAGCGUUCCAAUUUCCGGUCAGUUCCUAUUUGG